rnacentral:rRNA from 2 species
GGCGGGGCGGCUAUACAUGCAGUCGAGCGGACAGAUGGGAGCUUGCUCCCUGAUGUUAGCGGCGGACGGGUGAGUAACACGUGGGUAACCUGCCUGUAAGACUGGGAUAACUCCGGGAAACCGGGGCUAAUACCGGAUGGUUGUYUGAACYGCAUGGUUCAGACAUAAAAGGUGGCUUCGGCUACCACUUACAGAUGGACCCGCGGCGCAUUAGCUAGUUGGUGAGGUAACGGCUCACCAAGGCRACGAUGCGUAGCCGACCUGAGAGGGUGAUCGGCCACACUGGGACUGAGACACGGCCCAGACUCCUACGGGAGGCAGCAGUAGGGAAUCUUCCGCAAUGGACGAAAGUCUGACGGAGCAACGCCGCGUGAGUGAUGAAGGUUUUCGGAUCGUAAAGCUCUGUUGUUAGGGAAGAACAAGUGCCGUUCAAAUAGGGCGGCACCUUGACGGUACCUAACCAGAAAGCCACGGCUAACUACGUGCCAGCAGCCGCGGUAAUACGUAGGUGGCAAGCGUUGUCCGGAAUUAUUGGGCGUAAAGGGCUCGCAGGCGGUUUCUUAAGUCUGAUGUGAAAGCCCCCGGCUCAACCGGGGAGGGUCAUUGGAAACUGGGGAACUUGAGUGCAGAAGAGGAGAGUGGAAUUCCACGUGUAGCGGUGAAAUGCGUAGAGAUGUGGAGGAACACCAGUGGCGAAGGCGACUCUCUGGUCUGUAACUGACGCUGAGGAGCGAAAGCGUGGGGAGCGAACAGGAUUAGAUACCCUGGUAGUCCACGCCGUAAACGAUGAGUGCUAAGUGUUAGGGGGUUUCCGCCCCUUAGUGCUGCAGCUAACGCAUUAAGCACUCCGCCUGGGGAGUACGGUCGCAAGACUGAAACUCAAAGGAAUUGACGGGGGCCCGCACAAGCGGUGGAGCAUGUGGUUUAAUUCGAAGCAACGCGAAGAACCUUACCAGGUCUUGACAUCCUCUGACAAUCCUAGAGAUAGGACGUCCCCUUCGGGGGCAGAGUGACAGGUGGUGCAUGGUUGUCGUCAGCUCGUGUCGUGAGAUGUUGGGUUAAGUCCCGCAACGAGCGCAACCCUUGGAUCUUAGUUGCCAGCAUUCAGUUGGGCACUCUAAGGUGACUGCCGGUGACAAACCGGAGGAAGGUGGGAAUGACGGUUCAAAUCUAUUCAUGUG